AGCUUGUUGGUGGGGUGAUGGCCUACCAAGGCGACGACGGGUAGCCGGCCUGAGAGGGCGACCGGCCACACUGGGACUGAGACACGGCCCAGACUCCUACGGGAGGCAGCAGUGGGGAAUAUUGCACAAUGGGCGAAAGCCUGAUGCAGCGACGCCGCGUGAGGGAUGACGGCCUUCGGGUUGUAAACCUCUUUCAGCAGGGAAGAAGCGAGAGUGACGGUACCUGCAGAAGAAGCGCCGGCUAACUACGUGCCAGCAGCCGCGGUAAUACGUAGGGCGCAAGCGUUGUCCGGAAUUAUUGGGCGUAAAGAGCUCGUAGGCGGCUUGUUGCGUCGGUUGUGAAAGCCCGGGGCUUAACCCCGGGUCUGCAGUCGAUACGGGCAGGCUAGAGUGUGGUAGGGGAGAUCGGAAUUCCUGGUGUAGCGGUGAAAUGCGCAGAUAUCAGGAGGAACACCGGUGGCGAAGGCGGAUCUCUGGGCCAUUACUGACGCUGAGGAGCGAAAGCGUGGGGAGCGAACAGGAUUAGAUACCCUGGUAGUCCACGCCGUAAACGUUGGGAAACUAGGUGUUGGCG
rnacentral:rRNA from 1 species